UACGAAGGGGGCUAGCGUUGCUCGGAAUGACUGGGCGUAAAGGGCGCGUAGGCGGCACUGAUAUGUCAGGCGUGAAAUUCCUGGGCUCAACCUGGGGACUGCGCUUGAUACGGCAGAGCUGAGGAUGGAAGAGGCUCGCGGAAUUCCCAGUGUAGAGGUGAAAUUCGUAGAUAUCGGGAGGAACACCUGUGGCGAAGGCGGCCACCUGGACGGACAACUGA
rnacentral:rRNA from 1 species